AGUGAACGCUGGCGGUAGGCCUAACACAUGCAAGUCGAACGGCAGCACAGUAAGAGCUUGCUCUUACGGGUGGCGAGUGGCGGACGGGUGAGGAAUACAUCGGAAUCUACUUUUUCGUGGGGGAUAACGUUGGGAAACUUACGCUAAUACCGCAUACGACCUACGGGUGAAAGCAGGGGAUCUUCGGACCUUGCGCGAUUGAAUGAGCCGAUGUCGGAUUAGCUAGUUGGCGGGGUAAAGGCCCACCAAGGCGACGAUCCGUAGCUGGUCUGAGAGGAUGAUCAGCCACACUGGAACUGAGACACGGUCCAGACUCCUACGGGAGGCAGCAGUGGGGAAUAUUGGACAAUGGGCGCAAGCCUGAUCCAGCCAUACCGCGUGGGUGAAGAAGGCCUUCGGGUUGUAAAGCCCUUUUGUUGGGAAAGAAAAGCAGCAGGUUAAUACCCCGCUGUCCUGACGGUACCCAAAGAAUAAGCACCGGCUAACUUCGUG
rnacentral:rRNA from 1 species